CCUACGGGUGGCUGCAGUGAGGAAUAUUGGUCAAUGGACGGAAGUCUGAACCAGCCAUGCCGCGUGCAGGAAGACGGCUCUAUGAGUUGUAAAAUGCUUUUGUACAAGGGUAAACCUGAAUACGUGUAAUCAGCUGAAAGUCAUGUACGAAUAAAGAUAGGCUAACUCAGUGCAAGAAGCCGAGGUAAUACGGAGGCUCCAAGCUGUAUCCGGAUUUAUUGGGGUUAAAGGGUGCGUAGCGGGAUUGAUAAGUUAGAGGUGAAAUGGCCGGGCUUAAAUCGGGAACUGCCUCUAAUACUGUUGAUCUAGAGUGUAGAUGCGGUAGGCGGAAUGUAUGGUGUAGCGGUGAAAUGCUUAGAGAUCAUACAGAACACCGAUUGCGAAGGCAGCUUACCAAUCUAUAUCUGACGUUGAGGCACGAAAGCGUGGGGAGCAAACAGGAUUAGAUACCCCUGUAGUC
rnacentral:rRNA from 1 species